GAUGAACGCUGGCGGCGUGCUUAACACAUGCAAGUCGAACGGGAUCGGCUGGAGCUUGCUCCGGCCGUGAGAGUGGCGAACGGGUGAGUAAUGCGUGACCGACCUGCCCCAUACACCGGAAUAGCUCCUGGAAACGGGUGGUAAUGCCGGAUGCUCCAGUUGGAUGCAUGUCCUUCUGGGAAAGAUUCUAUCGGUAUGGGAUGGGGUCGCGUCCUAUCAGGUAGUCGGCGGGGUAACGGCCCACCGAGCCUACGACGGGUAGCCGGCCUGAGAGGGCGACCGGCCGCAUUGGGACUGAGAUACGGCCCAGACUCCUACGGGAGGCAGCAGUGGGGAAUAUUGCACAAUGGGCGCAAGCCUGAUGCAGCGACGCCGCGUGCGGGAUGACGGCCUUCGGGUUGUAAACCGCUUUUGACUGGGAGCAAGCCCUUCGGGGUG
rnacentral:rRNA from 1 species